rnacentral:rRNA from 1 species
CCUACGGGUGGCAGCAGUGGGGAAUAUUGGACAAUGGGCGAAAGCCUGAUCCAGCCAUGCCGCGUGUGUGAAGAAGGCCUUCGGGUUGUAAAGCACUUUCAGUGGGGAAGAAAGCCUUGGGGCUAAUACCCUCGAGGAAGGACAUCACCCACAGAAGAAGCACCGGCUAACUCCGUGCCAGCAGCCGCGGUAAUACGGAGGGUGCGAGCGUUAAUCGGAAUUACUGGGCGUAAAGCGCGCGUAGGCGGUCUGAUAAGCCGGUUGUGAAAGCCCCGGGCUCAACCUGGGAACGGCAUCCGGAACUGGCAGGCUAGAGUGCAGGAGAGGAAGGUAGAAUUCCCGGGGUAGCGGUGAAAUGCGUAGAGAUCGGGAGGAAUACCAGUGGCGAAGGCGGCCUUCUGGACUGACACUGACGCUGAGGUGCGAAAGCGUGGGUAGCAAACAGGAUUAGAUACCCUGUAGUC